rnacentral:rRNA from 1 species
ACGAACGCUGGCGGCGUGCUUAACACAUGCAAGUCGAACGGAAAGGCCCUGCUUGCAGGGUACUCGAGUGGCGAACGGGUGAGUAACACGUGGGUGAUCUGCCCUGCACUUCGGGAUAAGCCUGGGAAACUGGGUCUAAUACCGGAUAGGAGCCAUUUUUAGUGUGGUGGUUGGAAAGUUUUUUCGGUGUAGGAUGAGCUCGCGGCCUAUCAGCUUGUUGGUGGGGUAAUGGCCUACCAAGGCGGCGACGGGUAGCCGGCCUGAGAGGGUGGACGGCCACAGUGGGACUGAGAUACGGCCCAGACUCCUACGGGAGGCAGCAGUGGGGAAGAUUGCACAAUGGGCGCAAGCCUGAUGCAGCGACGCCGCGUGGGGGAGGACGGCCUUCGGGUUGUAAACUCCUUUCGCUAGGGACGAAGCUUUUUGUGACGGUACCUAGAUAAGAAGCACCGGCUAACUACGUG